rnacentral:rRNA from 1 species
UACGGGGGGAGCAAGCGUUGUUCGGAUUUACUGGGCGUAAAGGGCGCGUAGGCGGCCACCGCAAGUCGACUGUGAAAUCUCCGGGCUUAACCCGGAAAGGUCAGCCGAUACUGCGGGGCUAGAGUGCAGAAGGGGCAACUGGAAUUCUCGGUGUAGCGGUGAAAUGCGUAGAUAUUGGGAAGAACACCGGUGGCGAAGGCGGCGAGCUGGCCUGUACCUGACGCUGAGGCGCGACAGCGUGGGGAGCAAACAGG